rnacentral:rRNA from 1 species
CCUACGGGAGACAGCAGUGGGGAAUAUUGCACAAUGGGGGAAACCCUGAUGCAGCGACGCCGCGUGAGUGAAGAAGUAUUUCGGUAUGUAAAGCUCUAUCAGCAGGGAAGAAAAUGACGGUACCUGAUUAAGAAGCCCCGGCUAACUACGUGCCAGCAGCCGCGGUAAUACGUAGGGGGCAAGCGUUAUCCGGAUUUACUGGGUGUAAGGGGAGCGUAGACGGCAGCACAAGUCUGGAGUGAAAUGCCGGGGCUUAACCCCGGAACUGCUUUGGAAACUGUGCAGCUAGAGUGCAGGAGAGGUAAGUGGAAUUCCUAGUGUAGCGGUGAAAUGCGUAGAUAUUAGGAGGAACACCAGUUGCGAAGGCGGCUUACUGGACUGUAACUGACGUUGAGGCUCGAAAGCGUGGGGAGCAAACAGGAUUAGAUACCCGAGUAGUC